rnacentral:lncRNA from 1 species
GGACAUCAAUCCUGGGGGGUUUGGGGUGCUCAGGAUCCUGAGGAAACCAACCCAGAAGGGUCCCUGUAGGGUUUGGGGUACUCAGACCUUCAAGGACAGCAAUCCAGAGGGGUCCCUGGGGUGUUUGGGGUGCUCAGAACCUCGGGAACAUCACCUGGGAUGGUUCUUGUGGGGUUUGGGGUGCACAGGACCCCAUGGACACCAACCCAGAGGGAUCCCUGUGGGGUUUGGGGUGCACAUCAUGGGACUCAUCCAUGGCCUCAUCCUGUUCUCUCCCCCUUCCCCCCAUCCCUCAUCUGCUGCUUGGCCCUGGGGGACCCUGUGGGUUGGGGAGGGGGGAGGAGGGGCUGUUUUAUGGACUAUAUUUUGGGGAGGGGGGAUAUGGGGGGGUGUCUCUGUUCCAUGUCAGUGUUAUUAAAAAAAGCUUAUUUAUUAUCAGAAAUAUAACACCUACCUAUGUGCAGCCCUGCCUGGCCCUGUGCUUUGGGGCGGGAUUUUGGGUUUUGGAGGCUUUUGGGAUGUUUUGGUGUCACCGCUGAUGAUUGAUGUGAUCGGGGCGUCUCUUGGAGAGGGGGGGUGCCAAAAGAGUCCCCCCACUUAUUCUGCCCCCACGUUCUGCCUGGGACCCCCCGAUCUUUGUGAAUAGGAGGGUGAGGCUCCUGCAGGGACACUGAUCUGGGGGUCCCUGGUGAGUUUGGGGUGCUUGAAGCUGCUGAUCU